UGGGGAAUAUUGCACAAUGGGCGAAAGCCUGAUGCAGCGACGCCGCGUGAGGGAUGACGGCCUUCGGGUUGUAAACCUCUUUCAGCAGGGACGAAGCGCAAGUGACGGUACCUGCAGAAGAAGCACCGGCUAACUACGUGCCAGCAGGCGCGGUAAUACGUAGGGUGCAAGCGUUGUCCGGAAUUACUGGGCGUAAAGAGUUCGUAGGCGGUUUGUCGCGUCGUUUGUGAAAACCGGCAGCUCAACUGCUGGCUUGCAGGCGAUACGGGGAGACUUGAGUACUGCAGGGGAGACUGGAAUUCCUGGUGUAGCGGUGAAAUGCGCAGAUAUCAGGAGGAACACCGGUGGCGAAGGCGGGUCUCUGGGCAGUAACUGACGCUGAGGAACGAAAGCGUGGGUAGCGAACAGG
rnacentral:rRNA from 1 species